CAUUCAGACGGGCCGUGGGGUACUUAAAAUGUUCUGUUGUGUAUUUAACACACAGCCGAAAACAAUUUUUAUUGUAGGUGUUGCAUUGUGCUAAGAAAGCUGGUGUGACUUACAUCCUUAAAGCUGGAGGAGCACAGUCCAUAUCUGCUAUGACUUGGGGCGCAGAAUCUUGCCCAAAGGUUGAGAAGAUUUUUGGGCCUGGGAAUCAGUAUGUUACAGCAGCAAAAAUGAUUCUCCAAAACAGUGAAGCAAUGAUUUCAACUGACAUGCCUGCUGGUCCUUCAGAACUUUUGUCAUUGCAGACAAAUAUGCUAGUCAUGAUCAUAUAGCUGUAGAUUUGUUUUCUCAGCUCUUUAGAGAUGCAACCAUGGCGGAAGUGGAAGGCUUGGAAGCCCACAAGAGAUGGUAACUCUUAGAUUCAAGACAUUGAAGCCAGGCGAGUUGCCAACAUAAGUUAGGCUCCUUUUGUUUGUAUGUGUUUUCUGAUUGUUUUGAAAGCAGCCUCUCAUGUUUUCUCACCUGUAUGCAAAAUUUGUAUUAUUGCUAUUAGUGUUGAAAUUUUGUAUGUUGUAACAUGAUAUAGAUCUCAAAAUAUCAAUGUCUGAUCAAUAAAAUCUUUUAGAGUCGAGUUUAUUUUUA